GUUCCUUGGAAAAGGACAGCUGAGAGGGUGAGACUCCCGUCCGCCUGGUAGAGUGAGUCUUUGUCAACGAGUCGAGUUGUUUGGGAUUGCAGCUCUAAUUUGGUGGUAAAUUCCAUCUAAAGCUAAAUAUUGGUGGGAGACCGAUAGCGUACAAGUACCGUGAGGGAAAGAUGCAAAGAACUUUGAAAAGAGAGUUAAAGAGUACCUGAAAUUGCUGAAACGGAAGCGAAGGAAACCAGUGUUUGUUGGUUCAUAUUUCCCUUGUCACUUGUGAUGUGGGCGCUGUGAGCUUGCGUGGGUUUGCUUUGGUUGAUUCCUUUGGAAGAGCGCAGUCAGAGUUGAUGUCU
rnacentral:rRNA from 1 species